ACGAACGCUGGCGGCGUGCUUAACACAUGCAAGUCGAACGAUGAAGGGGAGCUUGCUCCUUGGAUUAGUGGCGAACGGGUGAGUAACACGUGAGCAAUCUGCCCUUGACUCUGGGAUAAGCGUUGGAAACGACGUCUAAUACCGGAUAUGACCCUCGGAGGCAUCUCCUGGGGGUGGAAAGAAUUUUGGUCAAGGAUGAGCUCGCGGCCUAUCAGCUUGUUGGUGAGGUAAUGGCUCACCAAGGCGACGACGGGUAGCCG
rnacentral:rRNA from 2 species